ensembl:ncRNA Y46E12A.6 ncRNA
AAAAAAAAGUUGGUGGCCUAGAAAACCAAAUUUUAAAAAAUUUAGGCCACCA